rnacentral:rRNA from 1 species
UAGGGAAUCUUCGGCAAUGGACGGAAGUCUGACCGAGCAACGCCGCGUGAGUGAAGAAGGUUUUCGGAUCGUAAAGCUCUGUUGUAAGAGAAGAACGAGUGUGAGAGUGGAAAGUUCACACUGUGACGGUAUCUUACCAGAAAGGGACGGCUAACUACGUGCCAGCAGCCGCGGUAAUACGUAGGUCCCGAGCGCUGUCCGGAUUUAUUGGGCGUAAAGCGAGCGCAGGCGGUUAGAUAAGUCUGAAGUUAAAGGCUGUGGCUUAACCAUAGUACGCUUUGGAAACUGUUUAACUUGAGUGCAAGAGGGGAGAGUGGAAUUCCAUGUGUAGCGGUGAAAUGCGUAGAUAUAUGGAGGAACACCGGUGGCGAAAGCGGCUCUCUGGCUUGUAACUGACGCUGAGGCUCGAAAGCGUGGGGAGCAAACAGGAUUAGAUACCCUGGUAGUCCACGCCGUAACGAUGAGUGCUAGGUGUUAGACCCUUUCCGGGGUUUAGUGCCGCAGCUAACGCAUUAAGCACUCCGCCUGGGGAGUACGACCGCAAGGUUG